rnacentral:rRNA from 1 species
CCAGACUCCUACGGGAGGCAGCAGUGAGGAAUAUUGGUCAAUGGGCGCGAGCCUGAACCAGCCAAGUCGCGUGAGGGAGGACGGCCCUACGGGUUGUAAACCUCUUUUGCCGGGGAGCAACGGGCGCCACGUGCGGCGUCACUGAGAGUACCCGGAGAAAAAGCAUCGGCUAACUCCGUGCCAGCAGCCGCGGUAAUACGGAGGAUGCGAGCGUUAUCCGGAUUUAUUGGGUUUAAAGGGUGCGCAGGCGGAAUGUCGAGUCAGCGGUAAAAUUUCGGGGCUCAACCCCGUCGUGCCGUUGAAACUGGCGUUCUUGAGUGAGCGAGAAGUAUGCGGAAUGCGUGGUGUAGCGGUGAAAUGCAUAGAUAUCACGCAGAACUCCGAUUGCGAAGGCAGCAUACCGGCGCCCAACUGACGCUGAAGCACGAAAGCGUGGGUAUCGAACAGGAUUAGAUACCCGUGUA